rnacentral:rRNA from 1 species
GAUGAACGCUGGCGGCGUGCCUAAUACAUGCAAGUCGAGCGAACGGACGAGAAGCUUGCUUCUCUGAUGUUAGCGGCGGACGGGUGAGUAACACGUGGAUAACCUACCUAUAAGACUGGGAUAACUUCGGGAAACCGGAGCUAAUACCGGAUAAUAUUUUGAACCGCAUGGUUCAAAAGUGAAAGACGGUCUUGCUGUCACUUAUAGAUGGAUCCGCGCUGCAUUAGCUAGUUGGUAAGGUAACGGCUUACCAAGGCAACGAUGCAUAGCCGACCUGAGAGGGUGAUCGGCCACACUGGAACUGAGACACGGUCCAGACUCCUACGGGAGGCAGCAGUAGGGAAUCUUCCGCAAUGGGCGGAAGCCUGACGGAGCAACGCCGCGUGAGUGAUGAAGGUCUUCGGAUCGUAAAACUCUGUUAUUAGGGAAGAACAUAUGUGUAAGUAACUGUGCACAUCUUGACGGUACCUAAUCAGAAAGCCACGGCUAACUACGU